CCUACGGGAGGCAGCAGUGGGGAAUAUUGCACAAUGGGCGAAAGCCUGAUGCAGCAACGCCGCGUGAGCGAUGAAGGCCUUCGGGUCGGAAAGCUCUGUCCUCAAGGAAGAGAAUGACGGUACUUGAGGAGGAAGCCCCGGCUAACUACGUGCCAGCAGCCGCGGUAAUACGUAGGGGGCGAGCGUUAUCCGGAAUUACUGGGCGUAAAGGGGGCGGAGGUGGUUUCUUAAGUCAGAGGUGAAAGGCUCCGGCUCAACCGGAGGAAGCAUUUGAAACUGGGGAACUUGAGUGCAGGAGAGGCGAGUGGAAUUCCUUGUGUAGCGGUGACAUGCGUAGAUAUUAGGAGGACCCCCAGUUGCGAUGGCGGCUCUCUGGACUGUAACUGACACUGAGGCACGAAAGCGUGGGGAGCAAACCGGAUUAGAUACCCGAGUAGUC
rnacentral:rRNA from 1 species